rnacentral:rRNA from 1 species
AUUGAACGCUGGCGGCAUGCUUUACACAUGCAAGUCGAACGGCAGCACAGGGAGCUUGCUCCCGGGUGGCGAGUGGCGCACGGGUGAGUAAUACAUCGGAACGUGUCCUGUUGUGGGGGAUAACUGCUCGAAACGACUGCUAAUACCGCAUAAGCCCACGGCUCGGCAUCGAGCAGAGGGAAAAGGAGCAAUCCGCUUUGAGAUGGCCUCGCGUCCGAUUAGCUAGUUGGUGAGGUAACGGCCCACCAAGGCGACGAUCGGUAGCCGGACUGAGAGGUUGAACGGCCACAUUGGGACUGAGACACGGCCCAGACUCCUACGGGAGGCAGCAGUGGGGGAAUAUUGCACAAUGGGGGAAACCCUGAUGCAGCGACGCCGCGUGGAGGAAGAAGGUCUUCGGAUUGUAAACUCCUGUUGUUGAGGAAGAUAAUGACGGUACUCAACAAGGAAGUGACGGCUAACUACGUGCCAGC